rnacentral:rRNA from 1 species
CCUACGGGAGGCAGCAGUGAGGAAUAUUGGACAAUGGGCGCAAGCCUGAUCCAGCCAUGCCGCGUGCAGGAAGAAGCAUCUAUGGUGUGUAAACUGCUUUUGUACAGGAAGAAACACUCCCUCGUGAGGGAGCUUGACGGUACUGUAAGAAUAAGGACCGGCUAACUCCGUGCCAGCAGCCGCGGUAAUACGGAGGGUCCGAGCGUUAUCCGGAAUCAUUGGGUUUAAAGGGUCCGUAGGCGGUUUAAUAAGUCAGUGGUGAAAUCUGGUCGCUCAACGAUCAAACGGCCAUUGAUACUGUUAGACUUGAAUUAUAAGGAAGUAACUAGAAUAUGUAGUGUAGCGGUGAAAUGCUUAGAUAUUACAUGGAAUACCAAUUGCGAAGGCAGGUUACUACUUAUGGAUUGACGCUGAUGGACGAAAGCGUGGGGAGCGAACAGGAUUAGAUACCCUGGUAGUCCACGCCGUAAACGAUGGAUACUAGCUGUUCGGAGCAACCUGAGUGGCUAAGCGAAAGUGAUAAGUAUCCCACCUGGGGAGUACGUUCGCAAGAUGAAACCUNAAAGGAUUGACGGCUGAGAGAGCGACGACGACGACGAGGGAGGAGG